GGAUGAAACCUUGGAGAGACUCUUAAUAGAGCACCGAAGGAGAAAGCCUUAAAGGCGAAACUCUCAGGUAAAAGGACAGGGGACAGGUA
rnacentral:ncRNA from 2 species